rnacentral:rRNA from 1 species
GUAUCGGAUACUGGGCGUAAGCGUGCGCAGGCGGUUUUGUAAGACAGAUGUGAAAUCCCCGGGCUUAACCUGGGAACCGCAUUCGUGACUGCAAGACUAGAGUGUGUCAAAGGGAGGUGGAAUUCCGCGUGUAGCAGUGAAAUGCGUAGAGAUGCGGAAGAACACCGAUGGCGAAGGCAGCCUCCUGGGAUAACACUGACGCUCAGGCACGAAAGCGUGGGGAGCAAACAGGAUUAGAUACCCUGGUAGUCCACGCCCUAAACGAUGUCAACUGGUUGUUGGGGAUUCAUUUCCUUAGUAACGUAGCUAACGCGUGAAGUUGACCGCCUGGGGAGUACGGCCGCAAGGUUAAAACUCAAAGGAAUUGACGGGGACCCGCACAAGCGGUGGAUGAUGUGGAUUAAUUCGAUGCAACGCGAAAAACCUUACCUACCCUUGACGUGUCGAGAACUUUUCAGAGAUGGAUUGGUGCCCGAAAGGGAACUCGAACACAGGUGCUGCAUGGCUGUCGUCAGCUCGUGUCGUGAGAUGUUGGGUUAAGUCCCGCAACGAGCGCAACCCUUGUCCUUAGUUGCUACGCAAGAGCACUCUAAGGAUACUGCCGGUGACAAACCGGAGGAAGGUGGGGAUGACGUCAAGUCCUCAUGGCCCUUAUGGGUAGGGCUUCACACGUCAUACAAUGGUCGGUACAGAGGGUCGCCAACCCGCGAGGGGGAGCCAAUCCCAUAAAACCGAUCGUAGUCCGGAUUGCAGUCUGCAACUCGACCGCAUGAAGUCGGAAUCGCUAGUAAUCGCGGAUCAGCAUGUCGCGGUGAAUACGUUCCCGGGUCUUGUACACACCGCCCGUCACACCAUGGGAGUGGGUUUUACCAGAAGUAGUUAGCCUAACCGCAAGGGGGGCGAUUACCACGGUAGGUCUCAUGACUGGGGUGAAGUCG